UAUCUGGUUGAUCCUGCCAGUAGUCAUAUGCUUGUCUCAAAGAUUAAGCCAUGCAUGUCUAAGUAUAAGCACUUGUACUGUGAAACUGCGAAUGGCUCAUUAAAUCAGUUAUCGUUUAUUUGAUUGUACCUUUACUACUUGGAUAACCGUGGUAAUUCUAGAGCUAAUACAUGC
rnacentral:ncRNA from 1 species